CAGAGGGGCUAGCGUUGUUCGGAAUUACUGGGCGUAAAGGGCGCGUAGGCGGCCUAUUAAGUUAGAAGUGAAAUCCCAGGGCUUAACUCUGGAAUUGCUUUUAAUACUGAUAGGCUAGAAAUUGGUAGGGGAUAGUGGAAUUCUUAGUGUAGGAGUGAAAUCCGUAGAUAUUAAGAGGAACACCAGUGGCGAAGGCGGCUAUCUGGACCAAUAUUGACGCUGAGGCGCGAAAGUGUGGGGAGCAAACAGGAUUAGAUACCCUGGUAGUCCACACCGUAAACGAUGGAUGCUGGAUGUCGGCCCUUUAUGGGUCGGUGUUGUAGUUAACGCGUUAAGCAUCCCGCCUGGGGAGUACGGUCGCAAGAUU
rnacentral:rRNA from 1 species